rnacentral:rRNA from 1 species
GACAGAGGUGCCGAGCGUUAGGCGGAAUCACUGGGCUUAAAGCGUGUGUAGGCGGACCCGUCAGUGUCUUGUGAAAUCCCACGGCUCAACCGUGGAACGGCUGGGCAUACUGCGGGUCUUGAGAGACCUAGGGGCGAGCGGAACAGGCGGUGGAGCGGAUGAAAUGCGUAGAUAUCGCCUGGAACGCCGACGGUGAAAACAGCUCGCUGGGGUCUUCUGACGCUGAGACGACGAAAGCCAGGGGAGCGAACGGG